rfam:Clostridium tetanomorphum DSM 665 contig83, whole genome shotgun sequence.
GCUCCUGUAGCACAGAUGGUAGUGCAGCUGAUUCGUAAUCAGCAGGUCGCAGGUUCAAACCCUGUCAGGAGCA